AGCAGGGGGCGGCAACAGCUGCCGAGCCCGCGGGCCUAGGUCAAAAUCUCGGGCUACCCAACAACGUGGUUUCAUCGGAAAGAGAAAAGACGGAGCGGAGCAGCCAAGUAUACUUUUCCCUACGAGACUUUCAACAUCUCACAUCCUGCCGAGUAGACACCGGCCAAUUCUCUGCUGCAGAAAACAGAAAAGAUUUGAAAGAGAUUUCAAAUCCCCCCCGUGCAUCUGAGAACAGCGCAUCAGUGGCCGGUGGGGAAGGACCCGUGAUGGGCUGUGCGUCCGGAGACAAGGAAAGGGGAAACCAGAGGUCCCAGCUAAUCAGUGGCAACGGUGGUUUGAAGACACGUCCACAAACUCUCGGCCACUCCUCCCGGUAAAGAGCGGAGUCCAGCUGCCUUCCUCCUGAGCGUGGCUGCACCCAGUGACUUGCUCCCAGUGAGGCGAAGCCGCAGAAGUGAUGCUGUACGACGUGUGACUCUAGGCCCUAAAAGGAGCUACAGCUUCCACCUGGCUCUCUCUUGGAACCCACUCACCCUGGGACCCCAGCCCACGCGCGGAGGAAGCUCAGGGUGGAUCCCGUCUUCUCCUCCACAGCAACAUCCUGCGGCCGCUUCCUCUCCGUACCUACUCACUUAUUCCAGGGCGACGACCCUUCUAGUUGUUCUCUGAUGGACGCUUGGCCUCUCCGGCUCCACGGCGGAUCCCUGGGUCACAGGAGUGAUGCACCUGGAAAGCACCGGGCCCACGACAGUAAGAGCGCUCUUAGAGACCUCACUCUGCCUUCAGAAGUGUUCUCGGGGCACCCGGCUGGCUCGGCCGCUGGGCGUCCAGCUGUUGCUUUCUGCUCAGGUCCUGAUCUCAGGGUCUCAGGGUCUCAGGGUCUCAGGAUCGAGCCCAUCGGGCUUCCUGCUCAGCGGAGAGUCUGUUUCUGUCUCUCUCUCCCUCUCCCACC